UACGGGGGGAGCAAGCGUUGUUCGGAUUUACUGGGCGUAAAGGGCGCGUAGGCGGGCUGCCAAGUCUGGGGUGAAAUCCCACGGCUCAACCGUGGAACUGCCUUGGAUACUGGCGGCCUCGAGGGAGGUAGGGGCAUGCGGAACUGUGGGUGGAGCGGUGAAAUGCGUUGAUAUCCACAGGAACUCCGGUGGCGAAGGCGGCGUGCUGGACCUCUUCUGACGCUGAGGCGCGAAAGCCAGGGGAGCAAACGGG
rnacentral:rRNA from 1 species